CUUUAAAAGUCUCUAUUUAAUGUAUCGUUAAAUUUUUUUUCAAGCAAAAUCAAGAGAAAGCAAAAGCUCUUUCCUUCACUUACAGUAGACGUCCACGUGGAUACUUCUUUCCAGCUUCCCAGAGCCACAUGUUGCUGUGCACAGUUUAUAUUCUAGGGGACUGAAAUAAAGAAAGGCAAAGAGCAAAUGGACCAGCAACAGGACAUCCCCGAGGCACAGAGGCAGAGUAAGCACAAGCAGAAAUAAUCCUGGACUCAGGGAGUGGCCCUUCUGGAAGAAGGACAGAAGUCUCUACAUUGUCUCACAGCCUGUGCAUCACAUGUAUCAACCUGGAGACUCAGUGCUGUCCUGAUGGUGAAUAAAUGGUGGUCUAGAUAUGGGGUUCUCUAAGUGUGUUCAGCAUCACCCGAAAGUGCAUUACAAGUGCAAAUUCUCAGACGUCACCCCAGAUACACUGGAACAAUUCUAGAGAGCUGUCCAGGAAUCUCUGGGUUCUGAUAUUAUCGUCCCUCAUGUAUAUUACCAGUUCUGCUCAAGAAGAAGAAAUCACAGAAAAAUGUGUGGCAAUAAAAUAGGUUUUUAUACCCUUGAUCCAACCUGAGUGGAAUUGCUGGUAAUAAGGUAAAGAGGGAAGGUCAGACCUCAGGUAUGAUGCUCACAGCCAAAGGAAGAAUGGAGAGCUUCGUAUGAACUUCUCUGACUACAGUGCUCUUCUCUGUUCUUUGUGUGACAUCACAAGCCUCCACAAACGUAUGC
rnacentral:lncRNA from 1 species